GGUUUGAUUAUGGCUCAGAUUGAACGCUUUGGCGGAUGCUUUACACAUGCAAGUCGAACGGCAGCACGGACUUCGGUCUGGUGGCGAGUGGCGAACGGGUGAGUAAUGUAUCGGAACGUGCCUAGUAGCGGGGAUAACCAUGAAAGCGUAGCUAAUACCGCAUACGCCCUUCGGGGGGAAAGCGGGGACCUUUCGGGCCUCGCACUAUUAGAGCGGCUGAUAUCGGAUUAGCUAGUUGGUGGGGGACCACCACCAAGGCGACGAUCUGUAGCUGGUUUGAGAGGACGACCAGCCACACUGGGACUGAGACACGGCCCAGACUCCUACGGGAGGCAGCAGUGGGGGAAUUUUGGACAAUGGGGAAACCCUGAUCCAGCCAUCCCCAAGGCGUGCGAUGAAGGCCUUCGGGUUGUAAAGCACUUUUAUGGAAGAAACGGCACGGAUAAUGGCCCCGUGCAACUGACGGUACCUGCAGAAUAAGCACCGGCUAACUACGUGCCAGCAGCCGCGGUAAUACGUAGGGUGCAAGCGUUAAUCGGAAUUACUGGGCGUGAAGCGGCAGGCGGUUGGAAAAAGAAAGAUGUGAAAUCCCAGAGCUUAACUUUGGAACUGCAUUUUUAACUACUGAGCUAGAGUGUGUCAGAGGGAGGUGGAAUUCCGCGUAGCAGUGAAAUGCGUAGAUAUGCGAGGAACACUGAUGUAUACGGCAGCCUCCUGGAUAACACUGACGCUCAUGCACGAAAGCGUGGGGAGCAAACAGGAUUUAGAUACCCUGUAGUCCACGCCCUAAACGAUGUCAACUAGUCGUUGGGGCCUUCGGCCUUGGUAGCGCAAGCUAACGCGUGAAGUUGACCGCCUGGGGAGCAUGGUCGCAAGAUUAAACUCAAAGGAAUUGACGGGGACCGCACAAGCGGUGGAUGAUGUGAUUGAAUUGAUGCAACGCGAAAAACCUUACCUACCCUUGACAUGCGUUCAAUCCGAAGAGAUUUGGGAGUGCUCGCAAGAGAACCGGACACCAGGUGCUGCAUGGCUGUCGUCACCGUGUCGUGAGAUGUUGGGUUAAGUCCCGCAACGAGUGUGCCGCAACCCUUUGUCAUUAGUUGCUACGAAAGGGCACUCUGAUGAGAUCGCUGGUGACAAACUGAGGAAGAUGGGAUGACGUCAUGUCCUCAUGGCCCUUAUGGGUAGGGCUUCACACGUCAUACAAUGGUCGGGACAGAGGGUCGCCAACCCGCGAGGGGGGAGCCAAUCCCAGAAACCCGAUCGUAGUCCGGAUCGCAGCCCGCAACCCCACUGCGUGAAGUCGGAAUCGCUAGUAAUCGCGGAUCAGCAUGUCGCGGUGAAUACGUUCCCGGGUCUUGUACACACCGCCAAGCCCGUCACACCAUGGGAGUGGGUUUUACCAGAAGUAGCGGCUUAACCGUAAGGAGGGCGAUUACCACGGUAGGAUCUAUGACUGGGGUGAAGUCGUAACAAGGUAA
rnacentral:rRNA from 1 species